UUUACGGAGAGUUUGAUCCUGGCUCAGGACGAACGCUGGCGGCGUGCCUAAUACAUGCAAGUCGCACGAGGACCAGGUGCUUGCACCUGGAGCCGAGUGGCGAACGGGUGAGUAACACGUGACCAACCUGCCGUCGGGUGGGGGACAACCUGGGGAAACCCGGGCUAAUACCGCAUGACAUCCGCGUCCCGCAUGGGAUGCGGACCAAAGGGGGCCUCUGCUUGCAAGCUCCCGCCGGGCGAGGGGGUCGCGGCGUAUCAGCUUGUUGGUGAGGUAACGGCUCACCAAGGCGAUGACGCGUAGUGGGUCUGAGAGGACGACCCGCCACAUUGGGACUGAGAUACGGCCCAGACUCCUACGGGAGGCAGCAGUAGGGAAUA
rnacentral:rRNA from 1 species